GUGCAAGGAUGAAAAAGAACUCUCUCACUGAUAGAUGAUGUCUUCCUACAUUAUCAGAGCACG
rfam:Caenorhabditis remanei strain PB4641 contig11.32, whole genome shotgun sequence.